rnacentral:misc_RNA from 1 species
GUUUUAGCAGACAUGAUAUGGUUGCAACAUAAGUUCAACACCAAAUAUUAGGAACAUAAAUUCUUUAUAAAAUGAAAAGCAAGAGUUUUUUAUUAACUGAUACCAAGCUGAUUAAAAAUAAUAUAUUCAUAUGUGUAAAGCAACUAAAACCAAGCAAGACUAUAAUCCUAAUUAAGACUAAAAUAGCAAAUCUUUACACCAUUAGAAACCAUGGAAAACAUAGACACACAUUAUAACCAAAGAAUAACUGAAGAUGUUUUUGCGAAGAACUGAGAAAAGGUUGGAAUAUGAGAUGACCUCCGUACAGAAUGGACACAAACUUUCACUUGAAUUUU